AUUGAACGCUGGCGGCAGGCCUAACACAUGCAAGUCGAACGGUAACAGGAAGCAGCUUGCUGCUUUGCUGACGAGUGGCGGACGGGGGAGUAAUGUCUGGGAAACUGCCGGAUGGAGGGGGAGAACUACUGGAAACGGUAGCGAAUACCGCAUAACGUCGCAAGACCAAAGAGGGGGACCUUAGGGCCUCUUGCCAUCGGAUGUGCCCAGAUGGGAUUAGCUAGUAGGGGGGGUAACGGCUCACCUAGGCGACGAUCCCUAGCUGGUCUGAGAGGAUGACCAGCCACACUGGAACUGAGACACGGUCCAGACUCCUACGGGAGGCAGCAGUGGGGAAUAUUGCACAAUGGGAGCAAGCCUGAUGCAGCCAUGCCGAGUGUAUGAAGAAGGCCUUCGGGUUGUAAAGUACUUUCAGCGGGGAGGAAGGGAGUAAAGUUAAUACCUUUGCUCAUUGACGUUACCCGAAGAAGAAGCACCGGCUAACUCCGUG
rnacentral:rRNA from 1 species